rnacentral:rRNA from 1 species
CCUACGGGAGGCAGCAGUGGGGAAUAUUGCACAAUGGGGGAAACCCUGAUGCAGCGACGCCGCGUGCGGGAGGAAGUAUUUCUGUAUGUAAAGCUCUAUCAGCAGGGAAGAAAAUGACGGUACCUGACUAAGAAUCCCCGGCUAACUCCGUGCCAGCAGCCGCGGUACUACGGAGGGGGCAGGCGUUAUCCGGAUUUACUGGGUGUAAAGGGAGCGUAGACGGCUAGUCAAGUCAGAAGUGAAAGCCCAGGGCUCAACCUUGGGACUGCUUUUGAAACUGAGUAGCUAGAGUGCAGGAGAGGUAAGCGGAAUGCCUAGUGUAGCGGUGAAAUGCGUAGAGAUUAGGAGGAACACCAGUGGCGAAGGCGGCUUACUGGACUGUAACUGACGUUGAGGCUCGAAAGCGUGGGGAGCAAACAGGAUUAGAUACCCCAGUAGUC